rnacentral:rRNA from 1 species
CAGUAGCCGCGGGAAUGCGUAGGGUGCGAGCGUCAAUCGGAAUUACUGGGCGUAAAGCGUGCGCAGGCGGUUGUGUAAGACAGGUGUGAAAUCCCCGGGCUUAACCUGGGAACUGCGCUUGUGACUGCACAGCUAGAGUAUGGCAGAGGGGGGUGGAAUUCCACGUGUAGCAGUGAAAUGCGUAGAGAUGUGGAGGAACACCGAUGGCGAAGGCAGCCCCCUGGGCCAAUACUGACGCUCAUGCACGAAAGCGUGGGGAGCAAACAGGAUUAGAUACCCGUGUAGUCCCUGUCUCUUAUAC